AUUCAAAUGAAGAAGCAAACAAUGAAGAGUCUAAUGAAGAUGAAGAAUCCGAGGCUGAGAACUCCACCCUUUCUGCUACGACACCUGGCUAUGGAGAGGAGACCACGCCGGGAACGGGAAAUGUAGGCCUGGCUGCCAUCCAACUUCCCAAGAAGGCUGGAGAUGUAGGAAAGAAGGCUACAAAAAAGGAGGAAA